AAAAACAUAUUUAAUAGAAUUUAUUAUUAAUACAUCCUGCUCAAUGAAUAAUUUAAUAGCCGCAGUUCAUACUGUGCUAAGGUAGCAUAAUCAUUUGUCUUUUAAUUAAAGACUAGAAUGAAUGGAUAAACAUUUAAAUUAUUAUUUUAAAUUUAAAAAUUAAACUUAUUUUAAAUGUAAAAAAACAUUUAUAUAAAGAAAGACGAAAAGACCCUAUUGAACUUCACUAAAGUUCAACUGGGGCAGUUUACAAAUUAAUAUUUUCAGUUAUAAUUAAUUCAAUAAAUGACCCGAUUUAAUCGAUUAUAUGAUCAAGUUACCAUAGGGAUAACAGCGUAAUAUUUUUUAGUAGAUCUUAUAUAAAAAAAGGAUUGCGACCUCGAUGUUGAAUUAAUUAAUCUAUUAAAUGCAACAAUUUAAAAAGAAAGUCUGUUCGACUUUUAAACAAUUACAUGAUCUGAG
rnacentral:rRNA from 1 species